CUUCCGUAGGGUNACCUGCGGAAGGAUCAUUACCGAGUGCGGGMCCUCUGGGUCCAACCUCCCAUCCGUGUCUAUCUGUACCCUGUUGCUUCGGCGUGGCCACGGCCCGCCGGAGACUAACAUUUGAACGCUGUCUGAAGUUUGCAGUCUGAGUUUUUAGUUAAACAAUCGUUAAAACUUUCAACAACGGAUCUCUUGGUUCCGGCAUCGAUGAAGAACGCAGCGAAAUGCGAUAAUUAAUGUGAAUUGCAGAAUUCAGUGAAUCAUCGAGUCUUUGAACGCACAUUGCGCCCCCUGGUAUUCCGGGGGGCAUGCCUGUCCGAGCGUCAUUGCUGCCCUCAAGCACGGCUUGUGUGUUGGGCUUCCGUCCCUGGCAACGGGGACGGGCCCAAAAGGCAGUGGCGGCACCAUGUCUGGUCCUCGAGCGUAUGGGGCUUUGUCACCCGCUCCCGUAGGUCCAGCUGGCAGCUAGCCUCGCAACCAAUCUUUUUAACCAGGUUGACCUCGGAUCAGGUAGGRAUACCCGCUGAACUUAAGCAUAUCAAUAAGCGGAGGAAA
rnacentral:rRNA from 1 species